GACGAACGCUGGCGGCGUGCUUAACACAUGCAAGUCGAGCGGAGCGGCGAACGGGUGAGUAACGCGUGAGUAACUGCCCCCCUCUCUGGGAUAACAGUUAGAAACGGCUGCUAAUACCGGAUAGUGGGGGCUGACUCGCGGCCUAUCAGCUUGUUGGUGGGGUAGGUGCCUACCAAGGAGACGACGGGUAGCCGGCCUGAGAGGGCGACCGGCCAAAGUGGGCUGAGAUGUGGCCCAAACUCCGACGGGAGGCAGCAGUGGGGAAUAGUGCACAAUGGGGGAAACCCUGAUGCAGCAACGCCGCGUGCGGGAUGACGGCCUUCGGGUUGUAAACCGCUUUCAGCCAUGACGGGGUAGUGGCAGAAGAAGCACCGGCUAACUACGUGCCAGCAGCCGCGGUAAUAC
rnacentral:rRNA from 1 species